rnacentral:rRNA from 1 species
GAGUUUGAUCAUGGCUCAGAUUGAACGCUGGCGGCAGGCUUAACACANGCAAGUCGAGCGGUAGCACGGGGGAGCUUGCUCCCUGGGUGACGAGCGGCGGACGGGUGAGUAAUGUCUGGGAAACUGCCUGAUGGAGGGGGAUAACUACUGGAAACGGUAGCUAAUACCGCAUAACGUCGCAAGACCAAAGAGGGGGACCUUCGGGCCUCUUGCCAUCAGAUGUGCCCAGAUGGGAUUAGCUAGUAGGUGGGGUAAUGGCUCACCUAGGCGACGAUCCCUAGCUGGUCUGAGAGGAUGACCAGCCACACUGGAACUGAGACACGGUCCAGACUCCUACGGGAGGCAGCAGUGGGGAAUAUUGCACAAUGGGCGCAAGCCUGAUGCAGCCAUGCCGCGUGUGUGAAGAAGGCCUUCGGGUUGUAAAGCACUUUCAGCGAGGAGGAAGGUGGUGAACUUAAUACGUUCAUCAAUUGACGUUCUCGCAGAAGAAGCACCGGCUACUCCGUGCCACACCCCGGUAAU